CCUACGGGUGGCAGCAGUGGGGAAUAUUGCACAAUGGGGGAAACCCUGAUGCAGCGACGCCGCGUGAGUGAAGAAGUAUUUCGGUAUGUAAAGCUCUGUCAGCAGGGAAGAAAAUGACGGUACCUGACCAAGAAGCCCCGGCUAACUACGUGCCAGCAGCCGCGGUAAUACGUAGGGGGCAAGCGUUAUCCGGAUUUACUGGGUGUAAAGGGAGCGUAGACGGGAGUGCAAGUCUGGAGUGAAAGGCGGAGGCUCAACCCCCGGAAUGCUCUGGAAACUGGCAGGCUGGAGUGCAGGAGAGGUGAGUGGAAUUCCUAGUGUAGCGGUGAAAUGCGUAGAUAUUAGGAGGAACACCAGUGGCGAAGGUGGCUUACUGGACUGUAACUGACGUUGAGGCACGAAAGCGUGGGGAGCAAACAGGAUUAGAUACCCCUGUAGUC
rnacentral:rRNA from 1 species